AUAUCUCUGUCUUCUACUGGAAGUGGCAGAUGAAGCACGCUCAAGCAGCCCUCAUCGACCGGUCCGAGACGUGCCCAUAAACUGCUGCGAACAAGUAGUCAAGUGUGGUGUUAGUGUGCCUGAACUUUCAUGGUGCGUCAGAUUGAUAGUUUCACAACGAAUCCAUAAAAGGCUUCCAUCUCAAGGAAAACAAAGUAAGUAUUAGUGUGCGUGAAACCACGUUUACCUUGCCAUGAGAGUUGGGCGGUGUGUGUCACCCUACAAUUUCAAUCUCACACUGACUUUCUGUCGCCCUCCCCGUUGGUUGCUCUUCAAGUUCAACCUCCUCCUGGACAUCCACCUGCUGGUAUUGGACAGUACCGUUGAUGGCGAGUUUGAUCAUCCUCUGAUGCAUGGCGACUUCUUUACUCACGGCCUUGACUG
rnacentral:lncRNA from 1 species